AAUGAAUGUUCUGAGCCUUGUCGUGACGUCAGAGGCUCAUUUGCAUACGGUAUUGUAUUUAUUGUGUGAUUGAGGCUGACGUUAGCACUCUGCUCCUGCAACAACCGGACGCGCAUCCUGUGAUUUCUGUGAGUCGUGCGCUUAACCUUCUGCAAACAUGUCUGACAAGCCUGACGUCACUGAGGUUACAACCUUUGACAAGACUAAGCUGAAGAAGACCGAGACUCAAGAGAAAAACCCACUGCCAACCAAAGAAGUCAUCGAACAGGAGAAGGCAGAGUCAUCAUGAAGACCAGGCCUCCUACGUGCUGUACAUUUGACAAGCUUUGUCUCUAUCAAGAUGCAUUUCAAGUUUCAUAACCUACUUGAGAAAUGGCUGUACAACUCACACUAUUCACUUGGCUUGAUGACCCUCUGUACAGUAUGGCAGUGUGGCUUUAUGUCACCUUUAGGACCUGGUCAUCUGUUUGCAUCAAUGAGCAGGGGGGAAACAACUGACAAAUCUGCACUUGGCAAUUUGUAGCCCUACUCCGGUCACCUGUAAUGCUCACAAGCAAGCUGUUGUAAAACCUGAAAUGCGCAAGAUUUGUUUAAUAUGCACAAUAAAAAAAAAUGUAAAUUUCA